GGGAACGGGGCUGACUGGCCCCGGAACCUCCAAGGUGCGACCUCAGCAAAACAAGUCCCCUUCUCACCCGAGGCGACGCGGCGGGUCAUUCCGGACUCCUGCCGCAGCCAGUCCCUCGGUGAGACGGGAGCGCCAUUGGCGUCCGUGGCCCCUGUUUCCGUGGCAACCCAGUAACCAUUAAUUUUCAAUUAAAGGAGACAAAAAGCUCCAUGACAGCUCCAGGUCUGCCGAAGAUGUCAAGAAUCUGUAUUAAUAUACAGCAAGAGAGCAUAAUUGUGUGUCCAUCUUCCAGAGCAGCGAAAAAUGGAGGGAUAAUUACCAGCUCGAAAGCCACUCUGUAAUUUACUUCUUACUGUCACCACAGCCCUACACAUUAGCAUAAAUUAAAAGCAGAGUUUAUUGUUAUCAAAGUGCA